AGAGUUUGAUUCUGGCUCAGAACGAACGCUGGCAGCGUGGAUUAGGCAUGCAAGUCGAACGAGAACCGGAUCGUUCAAGUAGCAAUAUGAGAAUGAUCCGGGGACAGUGGCGGAAGGGUGAGUAACACGUGGGUAAUCUGCCUUCAAGAUGGGGAUAACCCCGCGAAAGCGGGACUAAUACCGAAUGUGGUCUCCCCGCGCAUGCGGGGAAGAUUGAAGGUGGGGAUCCCGCUUCGGCGGGACCUGUCGCUUGGAGAGGAGCCCGCGUCCGAUCAGCUUGUUGGUGAGGUAACGGCUCACCAAGGCUUUGACCGGUAGCUGGUCUGAGAGGAUGGUCAGCCACACUGGGACUGAGACACUGCCCAGACUCCUACGGGAGGCUGCAGUCGAGGAUCUUCUGCAAUGGGCGCAAGCCUGACAGAGCGACGCUGCGUGGAGGAUGAAGGCCUUCGGGUUGUAAACUCCUGUCAUGUGGGAACAAUGGUCCCGGGCCGAUAACUCUCGGGGCGUGAUAGUACUACAAGAGGAAGCCACGGCCAACUCUGUGCCAGCAGCCGCGGUAAUACAGAGGUGGCGAGCGUUGUUCGGAUUUACUGGGCGUAAAGGGUGUGUAGGUGGUUCCGUAUGUCGGGUGUGAAAGCCUGCGGCUCAACCGCGGAAUUGCAUCCGAAACUACGGGGCUAGAGUGCAGGAGAGGAGAGCGGAAUUCUUGGUGUAGCGGUGAAAUGUGUUGAUAUCAAGAAGAACGCCGGUGGCGAAGGCGGCUCUCUGGAAUGCAACUGACACUGAAACACGAAAGCUGGGGGAGCAAACAGGAUUAGAUACCCUGGUAGUCCCAGCCGUAAACGGUGUGCACUUGGUGUGGGGAGUAUUGACCCUUCCCGUGCCGGAGCUAACGCGUUAAGUGCACCGCCUGGGGAGUACGGCCGCAAGGCUGAAACUCAAAGAAAUUGACGGGGCCCGCACAAGCGGAGGAGCAUGUGGCUCAAUUCGAUGCAACGCGAAGAACCUUACCAGGGCUUGACAUGUAGCUGCAGUCCCGCUGAAAGGCGGGAUGCCUUCGAGGGUGCUACACAGGUGCUGCAUGGCUGUCGUCAGUUCGUGCCGUGAGGUGUUGGGUUAAGUCCCGCAACGAACGCAACCCUUGUGUCUAGUUGCCACUGUCCGUGAUGAACGGACAAGCACUCUAAACAGACUGCCCCGUGAAAUGGGGAGGAAGGUGGGGACGACGUCAAGUCAGUAUGGCCCUUAUGCCCUGGGCUGCACACGUGCUACAAUGGCCGGCACAGUGGGAUGCGAAACCGCGAGGUGAAGCAAAUCCUCAAAACCGGCCCCAGUUCAGAUUGAAGUCUGCAACUCGACUUCAUGAAGUUGGAUUCGCUAGUAAUGGCGCAUCAGCUACGGCGCCGUGAAUACGUUCCCGGGCCUUGUACACACCGCCCGUC
rnacentral:rRNA from 1 species